GCUCCGGUGGCCAAAUGGUUAGAGCGUCCGCCUCUGAUGCGGGAGGUCGUGGGUUCGAUUCCCGGUCGAGUCA